rnacentral:rRNA from 1 species
GCCAAUCUCAGUUCGGAUUGUAGGCUGCAACUCGCCUACAUGAAGUUGGAAUCGCUAGUAAUCGCGAAUCAGAAUGUCGCGGUGAAUACGUUCCCGGGUCUUGUACACACCGCCCGUCACACCACGAGAGUUUACAACACCCGAAGUCAGUGGCCUAACCGCAAGGAGGGAGCUGCCUAAGGUGGGGUAGAUGAUUGGGGUGAAGUCGUAACAAGGUAAC